CAUAGUUCUGCAAAACAAAGGCGAUUGGCUACUUUGGCUUACCGUUGUGUUCUCGAACCUCGCGAAUGUAGUUGUUAGUCCAAUGUAAUAUUUGGUAGGAACAGCGUGAGAUGCAGUGAAACGAGAAAAUAGACAGGACAGAAAACGAAAGAAAUAAAUACAUAUGUUCGUGACGUAACGUGUUCACAUAAAGACAUUGCAAAAGAUAUUUGCACAUACUCUUUUUUUCCAAUGGAAUUCUUUCUAUCAGAUUCUACAUUUCAUUUCCAUAAUUUCAAAUUUUUAUAAGCAUAAAAGAGUUACUACUAAAUCACAAGAAAUUUAAUAUACUUGGACCUAAUUACCUAUUAAUACAUAAACGUUUAUGUACACGUUACAUGCAGAGUUUCAGUCUGCGAAUGGUCAGACGGGAUUUCGUGAGAAUGAGUAAUCCAAACGUUCAAGGAUAGCUGGCUGCUCGAAGUCACGUAGCUAUCGGGUGACACAGGAUCGAAUUUUCGGAAGACGCGUGGGAGAGUUUAGACGUGACAAGUAAUCCGAAUACGUUUACCAAAAAACAGGAAUAUUGUUUCCAGAGAAUCUGACCGCAGCAUGUCGGCUAAAAUACCUUCUGCUGAAUGCAUUGUGAAUGUCUCGUCUACACUCACAGAGCUGUCCAGCUGGACAAAUUGUAAAGUACAAAUUAAAUAAUAAAAAAAAAAAAAAACUCACAGAUACUGUCUGUAGAUAAUAGUCUUCGUGCACUGUACGCUGCCAGUUAUUGGAUCAUGUAUGCAGACUGUUUGCAAACGAUGUCGUUUAUCUACUGCAGUCUAAAGUCUAAUGAGGGUGCCGGCUACUCGUAAUUUUGUAUCAGCCGACCUUUUGCACGACCACAACCGCCCCAGCCCAUAAUUUCGGGUACCCGCAUACCCUUAUAGCCUGUCCAAGGAGACGAGAAAGUGGACAUAAACAAAGUGUAAUACCUGCAGCCACGGCAAUUGCACCUAAUUAGUGUCUCCGGUUAUGCCUUUUUCUUCUCUAUUGUGCGCUUAAGGUCACAUGCACCUUUCGAGAUUAUUAAUGACCACGGUGAGGAUGAUCGGUGGGACAGAGCGUAUCUACGUAUAAUAUGUUGUAUAAAUCAAUAUCUUUCAGGAUAUCUAGAGCUUCCUCGCACGAGUCUUCCUUUUGUAACACAUUGAGCAAAAUUAGUCGGAUCGUGCUAUACUCUUGUAAUAUCGUAUUUAGCACAGAUGAUUAGGAUAUGUCCGAUAGAAUUUAGAAUGCCGCAGGUGUCAGAUAUUUGAUUCAAUUUUGGUGAUAAGGUAAAAAAAUUCCCUACUGAGCCUGCACUAUUUUAAUUAUAUUCUCAAAAACAUGAAUUUGCAUAAAAAUCUGCAAUUAAUAGUUGUCACUAUAGAAACGAUUUUCCUACGGAGAAAAGCCUAGAAGACGGCUUUGGAUUUAAGAAUUUUGUAAGGAUGUCGAAAACUGGUUUUGACAUUUUAUUACGGAAAGUUGGUCCGAAAAUAGAAAGGAACGCGAGAAUUGUUGCCGAACCGGUGGCAAAAGAAAGAAAAUCAAAACAAAGCCUGCCAGCGUGAAGACGAUUAAAUUGAACUGCAUGUUGUCGUUUCCACGUUCUUCCAACAUCUGUUCAUAGUCCUUGUCCCUUAUUUUCUAUCGCAAUGGAAACUUGUAUUUUACCUGCUGUUAUCUCCCGAUUUUUCUCGAACAACGUGCACAGAUUAACUGCGGAAAUAUGUCUAUUGUCUGAUAAUUGUCUAUCAGACAAUUUUGUGUUACUAUGUGUCUAUUUUGUGAUACUAAACACUACUUAGAUCAACGAUUUCCUGCCACAUGGAUAGGCCGUGCUAUGCUUAUUUCCUGACCAGCUUUCCAGACCUGACUCAAUCCGAUCAUUAGUUAUAAAAAUCAAAAACUCCAAGAUCCUUAUACAUCGCGACCUUAAGAUAGCCACAGUUAAAGAAGAAAUAUCCAAGUUCUGAAAGAGAUAUAAUAUAAGAGUUAACAACUACCAAGAGCCAUUAGUUACCCAAUUACUUGACACGACGGACCAGAUCCCAUAGACCAUAAAAAGACAACACCCUUUAGAUUGAAGCAUUAGAUUCAACUAGAAUCAAACAUACUGUAAACUCUUAUAAUCCAAGUUACAGUACCACGCCAAAAUAAUUUACUUAUAAUUCUCAAAGAGAAUUGAUUGUAAAUAGUCUACCAAAUAUAAAAAAGAAAUAGUUAUGAAGACAUUUAAAAUCUCUUGUUCAUAGAAUGUCAAUUGACAAGGUUGAAACUCUUCAUAAAACUCAACAUGACAAGGAGAAUUGGUUGUAAAUAGUCUACCAAAUAUAAAAAAGAAAUAGUUAUGAAGACAUUUAAAAUCUCUUGUUCAUAAAAUGUCAAUUGACAAGGUUGAAACUCUUCAUGAAACUCAACAUGACAAAGAGAAUUGGUUGUAAAUAGUCUACCAAAUAUAAAAAAGAAAUAGUUAUGAAGACAUUUAAAAUCUCUUGUUCAUAGAAUGUCAAUUGACAAGGUUGAAACUCUUCAUGAAACUCGACAUGACAACCAAAUUCGCUAACGUGUCCGUGUAAGCUGUUCGAACAAGUUGGACAAUCUAUGAUGCGAUGCAUUCGCGUCUCUAUCGAAGCUGGACCUGAUCACUUGGAGUAAUUUCUCUGAAGGUAAAAAAGGUGUUACAGUGUUCACAACAUACACAACAUUGUACAACACGAAACAAAAUGCUGAAUCAAAUCCUGCCCAAUGUUCCUACAUGUUCUAGCUCAGCCUGGAUAUGCGGAUAGAGUCGUGUCGGAAUAUUAAAACGCGAGGAACUGUAUAUAAAUAAUUGUUACGUAAACUUUUCUGCAUUAAUAUUACGUAGCUAGAUAUUCCAAAUAUUACGGAGCGUGUAAGAAAAGGAGAAGAACUGAUAAGGAAGUACAGGCUGGCUGUGUAGAACGUCACGUCAGUAGGCAGGCUAAGUAACAAGCCCACUUUAUUACACGGCGCCUUACAUUUAUGUACCUUCUAGAGUUGAAGUAACCACGCAACGCUUUUAGCUGCCUCGUUCGUCCUUCUUCCCUUAUUUUCUUUCGCCCCCGUCUAACUUCCCGCCUGGUUCCACUGGAAUCUUUUUCACUAUUUCGCCUCUAUUACGAUAUCGUGAUGUUGUGCGACUCCCUCAUUAGCAAGGCGUUAGAUGCUCCAAUUACUUAAGAGUUCUCGUUUGGAACUUGGAAAAGUUGCUCGAGACUGCCAAUUUAUUCCAUCUCACGGUUUUGAUAGCGUAUUUCUACGGUUACUCUUUCUCAUUCGCACGUAUCACUGUCUACUUAAAAAAUUAAUUAACCGGGUCUAACACGCGAGAACAGAAGAAGAAAAUUAAUUAAAUCGAUCUGUGAAAUCACAGCCAUUCUAUCUUGAUUUUAAUCUGUCGAAUAGACAUAGUGAUGACCGUAAGGAUAUUCCGUGCUGCUAAUGCAAAUUCGAACGUUUCAAUAUAUGUACGUGUAAAUGUGACGGUAAACCCUGUGUUUGCUAAUGUUUGUUUAUUCGUAUACACAGAGUAUUCGUUUCGCUUAAUAAAUAUUAAUAAUUUUAGACGUACAGUCAACAACUUUGCCCUUUGAUGACAACUUUAUAUAUAUUUCUGGAAUUUGAAUUUAAGGAAAUAAGACAAUACUUCUAGUUCUGAUCGAAUUCUUUGAUUCUUCUUAUUUGACCUUUUCUACAAUAUCGAGAACAAACAACUAUAAUUUUGUAUUUGAUAAAAAUAGGAAACUACACAAGAAGAAACAACGAUGUCAUCCGAAUAAAUCGAUUGAUUAAGGAAAAUAUAGUUUAGAAAUUACUCUAAUGGCUAUUACAAUAUCUUAUUGUUACCUAUUGAAUUGUAAUAUAAAAGAAUAAAUAUUAAACUUGCUUAAUAACGAAUAAAUAGAUAAAUCAUAAUAUAAUUCAUGAUAUAUUUUAUAUGUUAUAUAUACAUAAUAAAUUAUAAUCUGUUCCGGAUAUCAUGUGAUCACAUUCACGGUUCAUUAAAUUUUCUACAUAAUCUUGUUUGUUACAAACUAAUUUCAUAAUAUUCGCGGGAAAUUGCCAACAUCCAUGCAAU